rnacentral:tRNA from 1 species
UGGCUCAGUUGGUAGAGCAUGGUGUUUGCAAUGCCAGGGUUGUGGGUUCGUUUCCCAU